rnacentral:lncRNA from 1 species
GUGCUCUGGGUCCCCUGGCUCAGCUGCAGCGAGACCUGAAGGUGUUGGGUACUUCUGAGUCUCCAAGCUGCAUCCGGUCUUGGGAUGUCGAUCCUGGCGUCUGCAACCUUGAUGAACAGCUCAAGGUCUUUGUGUCCCGACACUCUGCCACCUUCUCCAGCAUUGUGAAAGGCCAGCGGAGCCUGCACCACCGUGGAGACAACCUGGAGACCCUGGUCCUCCUGAACCCAUCAGACAAGUCCCUGUAUGAUGAGCUCCGGAACCUUCUGUUGGACCCUGCCUCUCACAAGCUACUGGUGUUGGCUGGGCCCUGCCUGGAGGAGACGGGGGAGCUGCUGCUACAGACAGGGGGCUUCUCGCCUCACCACUUCCUCCAGGUCCUGAAGGACAGAGAGAUCCGGGACAUCCUGGCCACCACGCCCCCACCUGUGCAGCCGCCCAUACUCACCAUCACCUGCCCCACCUUCGGUGACUGGGCUCAGCUGGCACCCGCUGUGCCUGGCCUUCAGGGGGCGCUCCGGCUCCAGCUGCGGCUGAACCCC